GACGAACGCUGGCGGCGUGCCUAAUACAUGCAAGUCGAGCGGACAGAAGGGAGCUUGCUCCCGGAAGUUAGCGGCGGAUGGGUGAGUAACACGUGGGCAACCUACCCUGUAGAUCGGGAUAACAUCGAGAAAUCGGUGCUAAUACCGGAUAAUCAUUUGAAGUGCAUGCUUCGAAUGUAAAAGAGGGCUCCGGCUAUCACUACGGGAUGGGCCCGCGGCGCAUUAGCUAGUUGGUAAGGUAAUGGCUUACCAAGGCAACGAUGCGUAGCCGACCUGAGAGGGUGAUCGGCCACACUGGGACUGAGACACGGCCCAGACUCCUACGGGAGGCAGCAGUAGGGAAUCUUCCGCAAUGGACGAAAGUCUGACGGAGCAACGCCGCGUGAGUGAUGAAGGUCUUCGGAUCGUAAAGCUCUGUUGUUAGGGAAGAACAAGUGCCGUUUGAAUAAGGCGGCACCUUGACGGUACCUAACCAGAAAGCCACGGCUAACUACGUGCCAGCCGCCGCGGUAACAC
rnacentral:rRNA from 1 species